GCGGGUGUAGCUCAGUUGGCUAGAGCGCGAGCUUCCCAAGCUUGAGGUCGAGGGUUCGAGCCCCUUCACCCGCUCCA
rnacentral:tRNA from 2 species